rnacentral:rRNA from 1 species
UUAAUUGAAGAGUUUGAUCAUGGCUCAGAUUGAACGCUGGCGGCAAGCCUAACACAUGCAAGUCGAACGGCAACACAAAAGAGCUUGCUCUUUGGGUGGCGAGUGGCGGACGG